rnacentral:rRNA from 1 species
AUUGAACGCUGGCGGCAGGCUUAACACAUGCAAGUCGAGCGGAGAGAGGUAGCUUGCUACUGAUCUUAGCGGCGGACGGGUGAGUAAUGCUUAGGAAUCUGCCUAUUAGUGGGGGACAACAUUUCGAAAGGAAUGCUAAUACCGCAUACGUCCUACGGGAGAAAGCAGGGGAUCUUCGGACCUUGCGCUAAUAGAUGAGCCUAAGUCGGAUUAGCUAGUUGGUGGGGUAAAGGCCUACCAAGGCGACGAUCUGUAGCGGGUCUGAGAGGAUGGUCCGCCACACUGGGACUGAGACACGGCCCAGACUCCUACGGGAGGCAGUAGUGGGGAAUAUUGGACAAUGGGCGCAAGCCUGAUCCAGCCAUGCCGCGUGUGUGAAGAAGGCCUUAUGGUUGUAAAGCACUUUAAGCGAGGAGGAGGCUACUUUAGAUAAUACCUAGAGAUAGUGGACGUUACUCGCAGAAUAAGCACCGGCUAACUCUGUGCCAGCCGCCGCCGUAACAC